AUGGCCUGGACCGCUCUCCUUCUGAGCCUCCUUGCUCACUUUACAGGUUCUGUGGCCUCCUAUGAGCUGACUCAGCCACUCUCAGUGUCAGUGGCCCUGGGACAGACGGCCAGGAUUACCUGUGGGGGAAACAACAUUGGAAGUAAAAAUGUGCACUGGUACCAGCAGAAGCCAGGCCAGACCCCUGUGCUGGUCAUCUAUAGGGAUAGCAACCGGCCCUCUGGGAUCCCUGAGCGAUUCUCUGGCUCCAACUCGGGGAACACGGCCACCCUGACCAUCAGCAGAGCCCAAGCCGGGGAUGAGGCUAUUACUGUCAGGUGUGGGACAGCAGCACUGCACACAGAUCCCUCCCACAUGUGCCCGUGUGGAUGUGGGUGCACUGCCUGGGGUGGCUGAUGUGCUCCAGGGAUUCGAUGGUGCAGAUGCUUCAGGACAAAGCAUGGGAGUGGGGAUGGGACGAGGCUGCAGCUGGGGAGACCAGGGACCAACGCCACCCAGCAGAGGCUUCCAGUGGGGUUGGGCAGCCCCAUUUCCUGAGAAUAGAGAGAACCUGGCAAUGA